rnacentral:lncRNA from 1 species
GCUGUCAUAUAGGAGAGUGUGGGAGUAGUGGAGCGCAAGAGGGAGAAGGAUGGUGCGCUGUUGGAGCCACAUCACCGCCGUUCCUCACUAUCACCGCCGCGUUUCACCGCCGUCGUUAAACUUCCAUCGCCGUCGCCACUGUUCAACCCGCCAUCAGGGAGAGGCACUUUCAUCGAACCCUAGCCAUCACUAUCGCCUCUGCACGCAAAGAAGGGGCUGAUGUCACUGUUGCCACUGUUGCCGUCGAUUUGGAGUUGCCAUAGACACAGUUGUUUCUAC